rnacentral:misc_RNA from 1 species
CAGGUCAUGGGAGAAAAAGUGUCAUUUGAUCCAUCUCGAAUGGUGUUGACAUCAGGUGCAACUCCGGCCAUUGAAGUUCUAUGCUUUUGUUUGGCUGACCAUGGAAAUGCUUUGCUUGUUCCAACCCCCUAUUAUCCUGGCUUUGAUAGGGACAUAAGAUGGAGAACUGGUGUAGAUCUUAUACCUGUUUACUGUCGUAGCUCCGAUGCUUUCAUGGUGGACAUAACAACUCUUGAUCAAGCAUUUAAUCAUGCUAGAAAGCGAGGGAAAAAGGUCCGUGGAAUACUCAUCUCAAACCCGUCUAACCCUGUAGGGAACAUACUGAAUAGGGAAAUGCUAUAUAG